CCCCCCCACACACUAUCCCAUCUAACCCCCACACUGCCCCCCUCCUCCUCGCCCAUUUGCCAGCCUUAUUAUCACGCUACAGGGGCUGUACCACAACAGCACAAAGCUAACCACACCACUCUCACAGAAGUUGAAUCUAUUCAAACCCUCUGAAAGUUCAUCACAUCAAUGCCCAGUGAUUGAAACCUACUGACCCUGCAACGGUAUAAACAGUCACAUGCACACACCAAAAACUAUGGGUGUGUGUUAGUCAAAGCUGUUCACAGCCUCUGGCUCAUCCAUCCACAGUGUAAUCCAGUAGAGGAGAGGAACAGAGAGACUGAAUAAUGGUGCUUUGUAGUGGAAGAGCGAGAGAGACAAGACAGUGCUUAUCCAGAGGAGCUGGUAAAUAUAUAAUCUCCACAAACAGCCAAGGUCAGAAAAACAGCACCUGUCUCAGGCAUGCAGGCGAGGAAUGGCAUGGCAUGGAAUGAGAUGGAACCGAGAGGAAUGCAGCUCCUGGAAUGGGAUCAGUGACUCCCUGGUAACCUUGGGGUCUUUGUAUUGGAGAGAGAGGGCACUCAGCUACUCUCACACAUUUACACACAAAGAGCCAAGGGUCUGUGCUUGCAGCCCCUCUCAGAAAGAGUUCAGCGAUGUUAAUGUCGCCAGCGCCUCAAAGCUUUUUGAUGUUCCGUGUCUUUUGAGUACACUACAGAAAGCUGAGAGCGGGCGGGCGAGUUUGAAUGCGGUGCCAAAAACAACAAGCAAGAAAGCAGCUGUGUGCAAGAGAGGCGGAUCACCCGAGGAAUCAAAGAUGGCCGACGAAGAAAGGAAAAUAGCAUAUCAAAGAAGGGUCCUACGUAAUUUGAGUUACUCAAUGUCUUUAAAUAAAUUAGCUUGGGUGGAGGCCGUGAAGAGUGUACACAUUACCAUUUUUGCCAAUGUAACCACGACUUAAAUGUUUUCUCAUUAAUUCCAAGACAAACAUUGUUUGUACAUUUCAAAUCAUUUCAAAUGCACAUAAAUAAAUGGACUUGCAAUUGGGCGAAGUAAGCUUUGAGACUGAUGUAAUGUUUUCCUGUUCAUGGACUAUCGCACUUUACUGAAGGAAAUUGGUACUAAAUAUAUACAGAAUUGAAG
rnacentral:lncRNA from 1 species